AGUGAACGCUGGCGGUAGGCCUAACACAUGCAAGUCGAACGGCAGCACAGUAAGAGCUUGCUCUUACGGGUGGCGAGUGGCGGACGGGUGAGGAAUACAUCGGAAUCUACUUUUUCGUGGGGGAUAACGUAGGGAAACUUACGCUAAUACCGCAUACGACCUACGGGUGAAAGCAGGGGAUCUUCGGACCUUGCGCGAUUGAAUGAGCCGAUGUCGGAUUAGCUAGUUGGCGGGGUAAAGGCCCACCAAGGCGACGAUCCGUAGCUGGUCUGAGAGGAUGAUCAGCCACACUGGAACUGAGACACGGUCCAGACUCCUACGGGAGGCAGCAGUGGGGUAUAUUGGACAAUGGGCGCAAGCCUGAUCCAGCCAUACCGCGUGGGUGAAGAAGGCCUUCGGGUUGUAAAGCCCUUCUGUUGGGAAAGAAAAGCAGCAGGUUAAUACCCCGCUGUUCUGACGGUACCCAAAGAAUAAGCACCGGCUAACUUCGUG
rnacentral:rRNA from 1 species